rnacentral:rRNA from 1 species
UUGACGUGGGGGCACCCUGACCGCCUGCCGCGUGAGUGAUGAAGGCCUUCGGGUUGUAAAGCUCUUUUGGCGGGGACGAUGAUGACGGUACCCGCAGAAUAAGCCCCGGCUAACUUCGUGCCAGCAGCCGCGGUAAGACGAAGGGGGCUAGCGUUGUUCGGAAUUACUGGGCGUAAAGCGCGUGUAGGCGGUUUUCCAAGUUGGGUGUGAAAGCCUUGGGCUUAACCCAAGAAAUGCACUCAGUACUGGAAGACUAGAGGACCGGAGAGGAUAGUGGAAUUCCCAGUGUAGUGGUGAAAUACGUAGAGAUUGGGAAGAACACCAGUGGCGAAGGCGGCUAUCUGGACGGUUUCUGACGCUAAGACGCGAAA